rnacentral:tRNA from 1 species
GCAGGUGUAGUACAACGGUUAGUAUGAUAGCUUGCCAUGCUAUAGAUGGGGGUUCGAUUCCCCUCGCUUGCU